rnacentral:rRNA from 1 species
GAUGAACGCUGGCGGCGUGCCUAAUACAUGCAAGUCGAGCGAACGGACGAGAAGCUUGCUUUUCUGAUGUUAGCGGCGGACGGGUGAGUAACACGUGGAUAACCUACCUAUAAGACUGGGAUAACUUCGGGAAACCGGAGCUAAUACCGGAUAAUAUUUUGAACCGCAUGGUUCAAAAGUGAAAGACGGUCUUGCUGUCACUUAUAGAUGGAUCCGCGCUGCAUUAGCUAGUUGGUAAGGUAACGGCUUACCAAGGCAACGAUGCAUAGCCGACCUGAGAGGGUGAUCGGCCACACUAGAACUGAGACACGGUCCAGACUCCUACGGGAGGCAGCAGUAGGGAAUCUUCCGCAAUGGGCGAAAGCCUGACGGAGCAACGCCGCGUGAGUGAUGAAGGUCUUCGGAUCGUAAAACUCUGUUAUUAGGGAAGAACAUAUGUGUAAGUAACUGUGCUCAUCUUGACGGUACCUAAUCAGAAAGCCACGGCUAACUACGUG